GAAGUGCGAUAAGCAAUGCGAAUUGCAGAAUUCCGCGAAUCAUCAGAUCUUUGAACGCAAAUGGCGCCGGAGGGAUAUCCUUCCGGCAUGUCUGUUUCAGUGUCUGAGAGGUUUCACAAAAUCUUAAUGUGAUUGACGGGUAUGAGUUCAAGUCUCGGCUUAAGCUCACUCUCAUCUCUCAUGAAAGAUGCGCGAGUGGAUCUUUCGGUCCAAUGAAGUGGUCACAUCACUCGAAUGUGAUUUCAUUGGAAAUCACCGAAUUAUCCGUAUACUUGCGGUAACUAACUAUGAUCAGUGAUUGAAAGGUGUAUUAACACUCCAGGUCUCUGAUCAUACCCCUCCAUACCCUGCAUCUGAGAUAGGCAAGAUUACCCGCUGAACUUAA
rnacentral:misc_RNA from 1 species